GCUCUCUCGCUCCCUGCCGCCGCCCGCAGGGCUGCGGGGCUCGGUGGCAUCUCCCGGGCGCGGCCCGCAGUCCUUGCCCCUGCCUCCGGGCCGCUCCCGCCCCCGGCGCCGCUCGCUCCCCCCACCCGGACUCCCCCAUGUAUGACGACUCCUACGUGCCCGGGUUUGAGGACUCGGAGGCGGGUUCAGCCGACUCCUAUACCAGCCGCCCAUCUCUGGACUCAGACGUCUCCCUGGAGGAGGACCGGGAGAGUGCCCGGCGUGAAGUAGAGAGCCAGGCUCAGCAGCAGCUCGAAAGGGCCAAGCACAAACCUGUGGCAUUUGCGGUGAGGACCAAUGUCAGCUACUGUGGCGUACUGGAUGAGGAGUGCCCAGUCCAGGGCUCUGGAGUCAACUUUGAGGCCAAAGAUUUUCUGCACAUUAAAGAGGUGAUCGACCCCCCUACUUCCAGAAGCCUCUAACACUUCAUUUUCUUGCUCUUGCUCCAGAUCCCAAUGCUUCUGACUUCAAUCCUCAGUCUAAUUCCCCAAGCUAAUCAGCUCUUCUCCUUAACACACCUGUCUACCCCUCAUAUCUAAGAUCUCAU
rnacentral:sRNA from 1 species